UGAACAUCACUUUUACCAUAAUGAAUGUCGUUAGGGUCAAACUUUGGAGCCAUAUUGAGGUUUGAAUUAGUAAACGAAACGCACGGGUGUUGGCAAGAAGAAUAGUAACAGUAGGUGUUAUAUUAGUACAAACGUUUUGAGAAGAUUUCUAUUAUUUUGCUGCCUCUCAAAAGCUGUGGAAGUCUUCUUUUCAACCUUCAGAUAUUGUUGGAUAUAAAAUCAACAUACUAAAGGAUAACAGAAGAUCCACUUUUAUAUAGAUUGCAAUGGCUCCUAAAGAAAAAAAAACGAAGGCUCAAAUUGCUGUAGCCGCAGCUUCUGGUUGCCGUACAAAAAAAAAGAAGUGGUCUAAGGGAAAGCAACAAGAUAAAUUGAAUAACAGUGUUAUUUUCGAUAAAAGCACCAGUGAAAAAUUACUUAAAGAGUUGCCUAAGAUGAAGUUUUUUACUCCCGCGGUCGUUUCCGAACGAUUUCGUAUCACCGUAUCUCUUGCACGUCUUGCUAUAAAGGAACUUGAGAACAAUAAAGUGGUUCGCCGUGUCGGAACGUUUCAUCAUGCACAAUAUUUGUAUGUUCGUUGUGAAAACGAGAAGGAAGAGUAAAUUUUUUGUUUUGGAGUGUUCAUAUUUUUUCCUUAUGUAAAUGUUGAAUUCCAGUUAUUGUUAAAGUACAAAAAACACAUAUAGAAUAAUGCACGUAAGAAUUAUGAUUUCU